GAACAUUUUGGAGACAAUGAGAAUUGGUGACGCAGAUGGUGAGGUGGUGAACUGAAGUCAGACAGAAGAAAGUAAAUGUGGGAAUAACGAUUACUUGUAAUAUAAGACUGUCAGCUUUAAC